rnacentral:rRNA from 1 species
UACGGAGGGUCCAAGCGUUAUCCGGAAUCAUUGGGUUUAAAGGGUCCGUAGGCGGUUUUGUAAGUCAGUGGUGAAAGCCCAUCGCUCAACGGUGGAACGGCCAUUGAUACUGCAAGACUUGAAUUAUUAGGAAGUAGCUAGAAUAUGUAGUGUAGCGGUGAAAUGCUUAGAGAUUACAUGGAAUACCAAUUGCGAAGGCAGGUUACUGCUAAUUGAUUGACGCUGAUGGACGAAAGCGUGGGGAGCGAACAGG